UGGUGUGGUUUUUUUGGUAUUUUGCUCUCUUUUUCCUAUGCCUAGUUAUGCCUUUUUCCCCUUAAGGGGGAGUACUAACGGAGGGGGAGUAGUUCUUGCCUAUGCUCUAGUGUUUAGGGGGAGCUUAAUGUUUUGAUGUUGUCAUGACUGUGAGAUGCUUGAUGUCAUACAUGAUAUCUUGACAUCAUGUCUGGGAGAAUUUAU
rnacentral:lncRNA from 1 species